CAGACAAUUCAUUGCUGCUGCUGAAACUCGGGCACCAAGUCUCUUGAGCUUCAGUGGAAUGGACUUUCCCCGUGUAUUGUUCAUGGUGUGGAUUGCUGCAUGAACACGACUGCGAUAGUUUUUAAGGCCUUCCCAAGAAAGGUGCUGAAAGCAUCCUCCAUGCCAGCACUACAUUUACCGUCACCGUCGGUUGUACAGCAAUGAACAACAUCCUGUCCCCGGCGAAGUAUCUUCAGUGGGCUGACUGUGUUCUCGACCGUCGGUGCAUAGAUUAUGCCAUCCGAACGCUCACG